rnacentral:tmRNA from 1 species
CGGAUUGCGUUCGCGCCCACAGCGCCUUAUAUAUCGCUCGUCGGGAAACCGACUAUGGCGAUACACGGCUCAUGGAAUAAGCGUAGCGGACCCGGGGGCAGUACCCGGCGCCUCCACCAAUCUCCGCCGGCCCGUUCUUGUUUGCGAGGGGCCGGCGUUCUGCGGGGGCGAAACAGGCUCGACGCGCGUGGUAAAGGUGAAACCGUCGCCCGGCAUGAUACCGCCGUUAUCGGGUCAAAACCUAGCUGCGAACGAUAACUUCGCACAUGAGGCGCUUGCGGCCUAACCCUUGACGGGGUGAAAGUCGUAAACAACUCGCGGUUCGAGGGGCACCGGGCAACAGAAGCCCCUCACU